GACGAACGCUGGCGGCGUGCCUAAUACAUGCAAGUAGGACGCAGUUGCGAACGGGUGAGUAACGCGUAGGUAACUACCUAUUAGAGGGGGAUAACUAUUGGAAACGAUAGCUAAUACCGCAUACUAGUAGAUGGAACUGCGUUGUAUUAGCUAGUAGGUAGGGUAAUGGCCUACCUAGGCAACGAUACAUAGCCGAACUGGGAGGGGGGUCGGCCACACUGGGAAUUGGGAAAGGCCCAGACGCCGACGGGAGGCAGCAGUAGGGAAUCUUCGGCAAGUGGGGGAAACCUGACCGAGAAAAGACGCGUGAGUGAAGAAGGUUUUCGGAUCGGAAAGCGCUGUUGUUAAGGAAGCGGUACUUAACCAGAAAGGGACGGCUAACUACGUGCCAGCAGCCGCGGUAAUUC
rnacentral:rRNA from 1 species